GCUACUGUCCGCAUAAUGUUGACGACAAAAACAUUCCGCAGCGUUCAGCCUCUGAGGAAGAUGCUGCAGCCUGCGGUUGGUUGUGCCGAGCAACGCAGGGGUAAGGUGUUGACAGUGGAGAACAUGAACCCCCACGUCAAGCAGAUGGAAUAUGCAGUCAGGGGGCCUAUUGUCAUCAGGGCAGGAGAGAUAGAGGAGGAAUUGAAAAGGGGUGUUAAGAAGCCAUUUACAGAAGUCAUUCGAGCCAAUAUUGGAGACUGUCAUGCUACAGGCCAGAAGCCACUAACAUUCAUCAGACAGGUGGUUGCGCUAUGUACAGACCCAGACAAGUUGAUGAAGGAUCCCACGUACCCCUCAGAUGCUAAAGAGAGGGCUCAAAGAAUUUUGGAUGGCUGUGGAGGAAAAAGUUUGGGUGCAUACAGUGAUAGCUCUGGUGUGAGAGUCAUCCGAGAGGAUAUUGCAAAGUACAUCGCUGAAAGAGAUGGACACCCCUCAGACCCGAAUGAUAUCUUCCUGAGCACUGGAGCUAGUGAUAGUAUUAAGACGAUAAUGAAGAUGUUGAUGACCGCUAAGGAUGGAAAGGAGAGAGCUGGUAUCAUGAUCCCCAUCCCACAAUAUCCACUGUACACCGCCACCAUUGCUGAAUAUAACGCUUACCCAAUUGGAUACUUUUUGGACGAGUCAAACACUUGGGCUUUGAACAUCCCAGAGCUGAAACGGGCCAUUAAAGAAGCCCGUUCAGAAUGCAAGCCCAGGGGCAUUGUGAUCAUCAACCCAGGAAACCCUACAGGUCAAGUUCUGUCGAGAGACAAUAUUGAGGCAGUCAUUAGAUUUGCUAAGGAGGAGGGUCUCUUCUUAAUGGCUGAUGAGGUGUACCAGCACAACAUCUAUGCGGAGGGCUCUGCCUUCCACUCAUUCAAGAAGGUGCUGAUGGAGAUGGGACCUGAGUACAGAGGCAUGGAGCUGGCCUCCUUCAUGUCAUCCUCCAAGGGAUAUAUGGGAGAGUGUGGGUUCAGGGGAGGCUACUGUGAGGUGAUCAACCUUGACCCUGCUGUCAAGGCCAUUCAGAUCAAGUCCAUCUCAGCCAAGCUCUGCUCAUCUGUGUCUGGACAGGCCGUGAUGGACGUUGUUUGUAAUCCUCCAAAGAGUGGGGAGCCGUCCUAUGAACUUUUCAUGAAGGAGAAGAAUAUGGUGCUGGGUCAGCUGAAAACAAAGGCAACGAUGGUGACCAAGACGUUCAACUCCAUCGAGGGCAUAUCAUGUAAUGUGGUACAGGGGUCCAUGUACGCCUUCCCAAACAUAAAACUGCCAAAGAAAGCUAUCAAGGCUGCUGAGGCAGCUGGAAUGAAGCCCGAUGUAUUCUACUGCACCCAGCUCCUUGAGGAGACGGGUAUCUGCGUUGUGCCUGGCUCAGGGUUCGGUCAGAGAGAAGGCACUUACCACUUCAGGUUAGUGGAUCAGGGAAGCAGUUAGUACACUGAACGCCACUUACCACUUCAAGAGAGUGGAUCAGGGAAGCAGUUAGUACACUGAACACCACUUACAACUUCAGUUGAGUGGAUCAGGGAAGCAGUCAGUACACUGAACACCACUUACCACUUCAGGACAACCAUUUUACCCCCUGUUGAAAAGCUUCAAGUGUUUAUGGACAAGUUCAAAGUUUUCCACAAGAACUUUGUACAGAAGUACCAGUAAACAUCACUAAUUAGUUUUCUUGUUUGUAAAAAGAACAUAUAUUUUGUUGUUGAGAGACCAGUAUAUAUUAUUAUAAAUGUUGAACGCAAAUUAAUGGUUUGGCAGAUUUUUAGAAUAUAAUUAAAAUUCCUUCUAAAUAUGGCGGAUUUAGGCAUCGCCCCAGUAUGCAUCUAUAAAGUUCUUUGAACCAUUAUAUUUUCAAAAUUCAUUUGGUGCAGCUGUGUUUAUUUUGGAUUGUUUAAUUUUUGUGCCAUGCACUGUAUAAUAAUUUUGCUUGAAUUUACAAGAUUCCUAAUUAAAAUACUUAGUAUUAAAAAUAAUACUAUAACUGGAUGCAACCAAACUAUUUAGAUUUUGGUAUCUGUAUCUGUUAUAACUUAUUACUGAUGUGUAAUUUUAUUUCGUGAUUUAAAUUGGCAUUUAUAAGUGCUGUUUAUGUGGAAUGAAAUUGUUAUUGGAAUUGUGAAUAGUAGAUAGCUAGUUCUUUAAUAUUUUUUUAUCACACCUACAAACAUUUUGCUACUUUUAUCAUGUAUUUUGACACUUUAACAGUAUUAGUAUUUGUGUAAGUCUUUCUUAGUUCUGCUUUUAUACUAAGUAAACUAGUUAAAUAGCUUUUAUUAUGCUGCCAGGUAUAUUGAAAAGUAUUUAGAUUUUUAUGCCCCCGAAGGAGGGCAUAUAGUGAUCGGACUGUCUGUCCUUCUGUCUGUCUGUUCGUCACACUUUGCAUUUAGGUUUUGAAAAAUGCUCAUAACUUCUAUGUCGCUUCAGAUAGCAAUUUCAUAUUUGGCAUGCAUGUGUAUAUGGACAAGACUUUCCAUACGCACACAAAUUUUGACCCCUGUGACCUUGACCUUGAACUUAAGAGUCCGCGUUUAGGUUUCGAAAUCUGCAUUUAGGUUUCGAAAAAAGCUCAUAACUUCUAUCAAGCGUUUAUAGGGGGCAUAAGUCAUCCUAUGGUGACAGCUCUUGUUGCAUUCUGCCUGGAUGCAAUCAGUCAAGAUUUGACAGCUCUUGUUGCAUUCUGCCUGGAUGCAAUCAGUCAAGAUUUUCUGAGUAAUAUUUAUUGUUAAAUUAACAAUUUGCAUGCUGGGUAAUUUGUCUUCUGCUAAAAUGUCGUCUGCAGAAUUUCUAAAAUUAGCAUUUUCUUCAAUUUUUUUCAAAGAAUACUAUCAGAAUAGCAAACAGUUUGGAUCCUGAUGAGACGCCACGUUUUGUGGCGUCUCAUCUGGAUCCAAACUGUUUGCAAAGGCCUUUAAAAUUCAGCUCCAGCGCUUUAAGGGUUAAAUAAAUCCAUGCGCCUUUCUACUGUCAGGAAUAAGUACUAUUUAACCAUAACCGGUAGUUGAUCUUAGUAUGAAAAAAACAACACAAGAUUUUUUAAAACAAUAAACCUGUUUCACUUAUUUUAUUUUAAUGUCUACAAAUGUCAAUAUAUAAAAAUUCUAUAAAUAAGUGAAUCUCAUAAAAUGUUUUAGUGUUCAAGGUUAUGUUAUACAUGAAUCAUUAAACAGAAAUUGCAUAUGUAAAGAAGAUGGAAGUUGCUGAGUAUAUGCUUUGGUAAAUUGGAAAGAUGGUGCUUUUGUAAUUGAAAAUUUAUUUUGUCAAUGAAUUCAGCUAAAUUAAGCAUUUAUAUUUGACAUUUAAGCCGCAUCAGUACGGGUUUUUGAUUAACUACAUGUAUGAUCAUGUUUUGAGAAACAACUACUAGUUUUUACCUUGAAUUGUUAAAGGUUUUGGAUAAUAAAUUUACAUUAAAUGAUUA